UUUCAUGGUGUAGCCAAAGUCUA
rnacentral:siRNA from 1 species